CAUUUGCAUGUGGAACUGUGGGCACCGGCCUUUGCCCCCUGCAGAGCUUGAGGUUUUUUUGUUUUUGUUUUCGUUUUUUCCUUCGGAUGACAAGAAAAAGCAAGAGUAUUCUCUUCCCUUUUGCGAUUUCUAUAUUAUUAGCCUGUCCUCCAAGCCUGCUCCAUGUGUCCCCGUGAACUCUGUCUUCCCCGGUUUAUUUGUUCUGUGUUCUGAUAUGAAGUAUUACAGGUUAUGAAAAAUUCCCAUCUUAGCUUUCUGACUAGUGAUACUGAUGGUUGUGGUUUUGCUUGGUGUUUUGUUUUUUUCCUUCCUCGGUCCCAUCUCUUUGCAGUUACUUUGUAUCCCAUUUCGCAGAAUAGAGAAAUGAAAUAAACUCUUGACCAAGUAUUCCUUUUCUUCCAAAAGACAUGGUCUUUCAAUAUUGUUAGGACACUUGCUAUAAACUGAGUGUAAAGUUGGGGAAAGUGCAAGUGAAUUUUUUUCUUCAUUUAGAUCUAAUUGGUGCCCC
rnacentral:lncRNA from 1 species